GCAUAGGUGGGAGACUGAGAAGCCUGGACGCCAGUCUAGGUGGAGUCGCCGUUGGGAUACCACCCUUGUCGUACUGAGAUUCUAACCCGCACCCCUGAUCGGGGUGGGAGACAGUGUCAGGUGGGCAGUUUGACUGGGGCGGUCGCCUCCCAAAGCGUAACGGAGGCGCCCAAAGGUUCCCUCAGAAUGGUUGGAAAUCAUUCGUAGAGUGUAAAGGCAGAAGGGAGCUUGACUGCGAGACCUACAAGUCGAGCAGGGACGAAGUCGGGCUUAGUGAUCCGGUGGUUCCGAAUGGAAGGGCCAUCGCUCAACGGAUAAAAGCUACCCCGGGGAUAACAGGCUUAUCUCCCCCAAGAGUCCACAUCGACGGGGAGGUUUGGCACCUCGAUGUCGGCUCAUCGCAUCCUGGGGCUGUAGUCGGUCCCAAGGGUUGGGCUGUUCGCCCAUUAAAGCGGUACGCGAGCUGGGUUCAGAACGUCGUGAGACAGUUCGGUCCCUAUCCGUCGCGGGCGUAGGAAUUUGAGAGGAGCUGUCCUUAGUACGAGAGGACCGGGAUGGACGCACCGCUGGUGUACCAGUUGUUCCGCCAGGAGCACAGCUGGGUAGCUAUGUGCGGAAGGGAUAAGCGCUGAAAGCAUCUAAGCGUGAAGCCCCCCUCAAGAUGAGAUUUCCCAUCGCGUCAAGCGAGUAAGAUCCCUUGAAGAUGACAAGGUAGAUAGGUCCGAGGUGGAAGCGUGGCGACACGUGCAGCUGACGGAUACUAAUCGAUCGAGGACUUAACUAA
rnacentral:ncRNA from 1 species